ACAAACCUCCAUGCCAAAUGAUACUCGCUACACAGGCAAUGGCUACCACUGGGACUAUAGCAACACCAUGGUUUCUUAGAAGAGCAUUUCAAACCUUAUCACUCUCUCACUCUAUUCCCAAUAAAACACGCAUCUCCUUUUGUGGAACCCAAUUCUCUUUUCCCCUCUCCAGUCCCAUUACCAGACACUCAGUAGCUUUAGGGAUGUGUCAUGUGGCUCAAGCUACGAAGGGUGAAGUUGUUGCACUUAAGGGUGUAGAAGACAAAAGUGUCAUUGAAGAAGUGAAGCGUAUUCUAGACAUGGCAAGAAGGGCAUCAUUACGAAGAGAAGUUCUCCAUACAGAUUUUCUCACCCCACCAACAUUGAAGGAAUCAUUGCAUGUGCUAGAAAAAUUAGCUGACGUUAAGGCUAUUGCUCAGGGAGGAUACCCACAGGCUGAGCGUUGCCGGCUUUCUGUUGGACAUCCAGAAACACUGACAAGUGAUCCAGAUAUAGUUGCAGCAUUGAGUAUAACAGGAAACUUUGGAUUUCAACUCUGUUCUCACGGUGACUUCCUUGGUGCAAUUCUUGGUACAGGGAUUGCCAGGAACAAGCUUGGGGAUAUAAUCGUGCUGGGGGGGAAAAGGGCUCAAGUCCUACUUGUUCCAGAUCUUGUAGACUAUAUUGUGUCAUCACUGGACAAGGUUGGUGAUGUUUCAGUUUCGUGUACACCGAUCCCAUUGCAUGCUAUUGAAUAUGAGCCUCCAAGGACUAAGUCAUUUAAAACAGUGGAAGCAUCGUUAAGAGUCGAUGCCCUAGCCAGUGCAGGAUUCAAGAUUUCAAGGUCAAAACUAGUUGAUUUGAUUAGUAACAAGGAUGUGCGUGUGAAUUGGACCACAAUCACAAAAAACAACACUACACUAAAAACUGGAGAUGUCGUCUCAGUAAGUGGGAAAGGAAGGCUAAAGAUAGGAGAAAUAAAUACUACAAGGAAAGGAAAGUUCGCAGUUGAGCUCAUUCACUAUCUGUAAGCCUUAGCACAAGUUUAUACAGUCGAUCAUCAACGCUUAUUCAGUGGUGGCUCAAGUCUUCUGAAGGUACAAUUAAAAUCAAAAUUGAUGGUUGUUCCAAUGGUAAUCCAGGAAGAUUAGGAAUUGGAGGCUUGUUAAGAAAUGGUAGUGGGAACUGGAUCAUUGGCUUCUCCGGGUUUAUUGGCUUGUCUUCUAAAGUGAUUGUUGAAUUAAAUACUAUUAGAUUUGGAUCAUUGCUUGCUUGGAGUAAGGGGUAUUGAAGAGUGAUUUUUUAAGCUGAUUCGCUAGAGGCAUUGGAGUUAAUUAAUGGAUGUCUUUCAUCUGUUCAUCCUUCUUUCAUUUUUAUUGAGGAUAUUAGACUGUCGAUGAAGUGGGAUUGGUGUUGUUGUGUUCAACAUGUGUUGCAGGAAGUAAACAGCUCUGCUGAUUAUCUAGCUAAGUUAGGAUCUUCUAGUGCUGAUAAGGAGACUAGGUGGUUCUUUCCUCCAGGCCUCUCGUCUUUACUGUCUGCAGAUUCUGCUGGUGCUACUUUUUGGCUUGUUUCAUUAUUUCCUUUACACAAAAAGAAAAAUAGUUUCGUUGGAAAAGACCAAACCACUAAAAUCUUUUAAUAUAUGAAGCCAAAAAUUAUUAACAGCCACGUAGAAAUAACAGUAAACCUACUCAAAUUCUUCUUCUGUUUUUUCCCCUAAAAUGCCUUCUUUCAUAGAUAUGCACUAGUUUUUUCAUUUUCUUAUUUACAUGAACAUAUCUUUUUUAUUAGCCUAUUGCUUUUUGAAUAAAAAAAUAAAGUCUAUUAAAAUAAAUUUUCAUAAAAAUCACAAUCAUUUAAAUCAAGGUGGAAAAAAAUAUCUCUUUAAUCAAAACUCUUUUUUUAUAAAUUUUACAUAUUAGAUUUUUAUAUAAUAAUUCAAAAGGUAAUCAAUGCUAGACUGGCCUACUUGGUUUUUUUUUUAAAAAAAACAUUGCCCUUUUAAUUUCUUUAAUUAAACAGAUGAUGUAUCAUUUGCCUGAAUUGUUUUGAAAUUUUCUUCAUACUGGAAAAAGUAGAUCCAAGCUUAAAAAGCUUUUUGAAUUAGCCUUUUUUUUUUCCUGACCAAUUCUAUCAAAUUAAGGGGUUAAAAAUAGGUGAAGUUCAAAAUAGAUUUUUUAUUCAAAAACCUAACUUUCCAACUCAACUUAGGCAAAUGACAUGUCAUCUAUUUAAUUAAAGAAAUUAGAAGGAUAGUGUUUUUUUAAUUUUUAUAAAUUUUACACAUUAGGUUUUUAUAUAAUAAUUUGAAAAGUAAUCAAUGCUAUACCGGCGUGCUUGGCCUUUUUUUUUUGUGAAGAAAAUAGAUUCCCUCAAGUCUUGCAACAAAUGUGAAAACUGUGCCCUGAAACCUAAAUAUAAUUAUGACAAUGUGCAAAAACCUUCCAUUAGAUCCAAUACUUUCUAACCAUUUAAUUGCGUGAAGCUGUAUGGAUCAUUGAAACCAAGUUCCAGGAAAUGGACUACCAAACUGAAGUUGACAGAUAACAAAACUGCAUCGAACUUUGAUACAGGGAGCUACUGCAUCCUUUUUUUCGAUCCCCAAGUCUUUUUCCUGUGUAGAGCAGAAUUUUCGAAGAGACAAAACAAAGUUCUGACUGGGAUGCACCCCAUCGCCUGCAAAGAUUCAAGCCAAAAAUGAGAGGCAAAUCUUAUGAGCCGGUAACACGACAGACACAGGUUUUCAUCAUUGAGUUCCACAAAUAUCUAAACCACAGAAGACUUGUCUUUCACUUGCAGUGCAUAUAAAAUCUCUCCCCACCAUUGAAUGUAAGUGUCACCUUGCCAAAGCCUUGCCUCACAAUCCCUUGGUAGGUUAAACUCUGCGAUCGGCAUUCAACGUUUCCACAAAAGAAAAGGAGGGAGUAGUUAACCAGCUCUAUAUUCAAACAAAAAGUUGCCAGUAUAAGAUUUUUUAAUUUUUUUUUUGUUCAAGACAGACCUAAUAAACGGAUUACUGUACAACAUAUUUUAUUUGUUUCAUUGGGAGGCCCAUGAGCUUCGGGCAGGGGUUCCUUCCAUCCUUGAUUCAAA